rnacentral:rRNA from 1 species
UAAUACGUAGGGGGCAAGCGUUGUCCGGAAUCAUUGGGCGUAAAGCGCGCGCAGGCGGUCCCUUAAGUCUGAUGUGAAAGCCCACGGCUCAACCGUGGAGGGCCAUUGGAAACUGGGGGACUUGAGUGCAGGAGAGGAGAGUAGAAUUCCUGGUGUAGCGGUGAAAUGCGUAGAGAUCAGGAGGAACACCGAUGGCGAAGGCAGCUCUCUGGCCUGUAACUGACGCUGAGGCGCGAAAGCGUGGGGAGCAAACAGGAUUAGAUACCCUGGUAGUCCACGCCGUAAACGAUGAGUGCUAGGUGUUAGAGGUUUUGAACCUUUAGUGCCGAAGUUAACACAUUAAGCACUCCGCCUGGGGAGUACGGUCGCAAGACUGAA